GAGAGUGGGAGGACAAAACGCAGCCCACAGACUGGGGAGCAAGCGAGACGCUGUGCGUAGACGAACGGCAAGCGAAGGAUAGAGAAAGCAAAUCCUGGAGCAUCGAUUCGACUCGAAACCUCGAUGAAGCACGCGUAAAAAGCAAGAAGAAAACGUGCACGAAGGAAAAGGAUUGGUUGAAUUAAUGUUGAGCAAUAAACAAACCACAUGUGUUUUGAUCGAAGGGAACAGGAUUUCAGGCUUCAAAAUUUAAAUUUGAUUCGCGUAAGAGGCAGAAAUUCGAUUUUCCUCAACCAAAACGCAUUUAGUUCGCUCAUUGUCAAUUUCAUCAAUCGUCACCCACUUUGAGAGAGCUGCUUCGCUCACACGCAAAGCUCUCCGAUCCGAAGAUCGCGGUGACUCGUAACGAUUUCUUCGCGGAUAUUAACGACGUUACACGAGCGCGUGAAACGCGACGGGUUCGCACUCGAAUUUGACCGCGUAAUUAAUAUUCCGUUCGGCGUCGCUGAUUGAUGAUAUCGCGUUUAUCGAGCGAAUGCGACGAACGCGCGCAGCGUUGGCGGCGGCAGCAAGGUCCGAUUAUCUGUCGCAUUAAAAAACGUUUUCGGCGCCCGCGCGCAUUCAUUCGGGUGUUACAUUUCGAUAAAUGGAACUUAACAAUCGGUCGUAGAAAUUGGCGCGGAACGGCCGCGUGUGACGUGUUAACGCUGCAUGUGUGCGUGCAUGCGUGCGCGCGUGUGUGUACACGCACGAAUGCCGAGGUCGCCCGACUCGAGCCCCUCCUCCCGCCAUCCACCCCGCCGUCCAUCUACCGUAAACAGAAUUAUACAAUACCGAACGCGCUACCAUUAAUUAGCGUGACUUCGUGUCGACGCACGCGCGCGCUUUUAUUUCAGCCGUACUGACAAAAUGUUUUUGCACCCCCGAAACAAAUUGCGGACUUUUAAUUGAGAUCCAUCGCGCCGAUGAUUCGGCUUGCUCGAAAACACUUCGCGCGCCACCCCGAGCCGGAUUUCCGCUCUGGAAACGUAUUUUCGUAAUAAUAUUUCCCGAUAAGCAAACGAUAGACGCAAUGACUUUUUUCUCUCCGAUCUCGCUUAUUCGUCUUCCUCUACUUCCUUACUUUUUUAGUUUGCCCAGAUUAAUACGAAUGAUAUAAUACGGUCACGCGCGAUUCGGAG